UAAAUGAAAGUGAAACCAGACCAGUCUGAAAGCUCACAUAGACCAGGAAGACGUCUUUUUUAAAACAAAUGCAGAAUUUAAUUACUACGGAUCCAGAGGAUCAGAGAAGAGAAUAAACAGGACGAGUUUUGAUAAUGAGAAGAGUAAAGGGUUUUAAAAAAGAGAAGGAAAGAGGACAUGGCUGAAUAUUUAUCAUCACAACUAAGACAAGGCAGAAGGAAGAGCAUGGAUACACCUACUGAAUUUGCAGGUGAAUCCAGCAGCCUCCUGACUGAAGAGCAGUUACAGUGUUCUAUCUGUCUGGAAGUGUUCACUGAUCCCGUCACAACUCCAUGUGGACACAGCUUCUGCAACAGCUGCCUCACACAAAGCUGGGAUACGUGUAAACAUUAUUAUUGUCCAUAUUGCAAAGAGAAAUUCACAAAGAGACCUGAAAUCAAGAUUAAUAUAACACUGAGAGAGGUUGCAGAUCGCUUCAAGAAGAAAACAGUCUCAGAUAAGUCUCCGGUUCUUUGUGACUUCUGCACUGGUGUGAAGCAGGAGGCCUUGAAAUCCUGUCUGGAUUGUGGUGUGACUCUCUGUUCAUCUCAUUUAGAGCCUCAUAAUCAUGUUCCAAAAUAUAAGAAACACAAAGUAAUAAAUGCAGUGGAGAACCUGGAGAAAUAGAUUUGCCAGGAGCAUGAGAGACCUCUGGAGAUGUUCUGUAGAGACGAUCAGAAGUGUGUGUGUCGGUUCUGUACUGUGACAGACCACAAGAAUCACAACGUUAUUCCAUUAGAGGAGGAGAGUGGACAGAGGAAGAGUCAGCUGGGGAAAACACAGACGGAGCUGCAGCAGAUGAUCCAGGAGCGACUGAAGAAGAUCCAGGAGAUUAAUCACUCAGUAGAGCUCAGCAAAAGAAACACAGAGAAGGAGAAAUCAGACAGUAUUGAAGUCUUCACCGCUCUGAUUCGCUCCAUUGAGAGGAGUCAGGCUGAGCUGCUGGAGGUGAUGGAGGAGAAGCAGAAAGCAGCAGAGAAGCAGGCUGAAGGACUCAUUAAAGAGCUGGAACAGGAAAUCGAUGAGCUAAAGAGGAGAGACACUGAGCUGGAGCAGCUCUCACACACUGACGAUCAUCUCCACCUCCUACAGAUUUAUCCGUCACUGUGCAUCGCUAAGAACUGGACUGAGAUCAGGAUUAACACGGAACUGAGUGUGGAAGCUCUGAGGACGGCUCUGUCUCAGCUUCAGAAACUCAGUGUAACUCUGAAUGAGAAACUGAAGGAAAAAGUCUCCACAGAACUGAAGAGGAUUCAGCAGUAUGCAGUGGAUGUGACUCUGGAUCCUGAUACAGCUCAUCUCUAUCUCAUCCUGUCUGAUGAUGGAAAACAAGUGACGUGUGGAGACACAAAGCAGAAUCUCCCAGACACUCCGAAAAGAUUCACUUAUUAUCCAGUUGUCCUGGGAAUUCAGGGUUUCUCCUCAGGGAGGUUUUACUAUGAGGUGCAGGUCAGCGGGAAGACUGAGUGGGAUUUAGGAGUGGUCAGAGAGUCUGUUAACAGGAAGGGGAAAAUUAAGUCAUGUAACCCUCAGGAUGGAUUCUGGACUGUGAUUCUGAGGAAGGGGAAUGAGUAUACUGCUUGUGAUGAUUCUGGUAUUUCCCUCUCCCUGAGAGAGAAACCCCAGAAGGUGGGUGUGUUUGUGGAUUAUGAUGAGGGUCUGGUCUCCUUCUAUGACGUUGAGGUCAUGUCUCAUAUCUACUCUUUCACUGGUCAGUCUUUCACUGAGAAACUCUAUCCAUACUUCUGUCCUUGCCAUAACGAUGGAGGUAAAAACUCAGCACCACUGAUCAUCUCUCGUGUGUAAAAUUUACCCCUCACAAAAUCAGUAGUGUAUGAAAAGUCCAGAAGGAAAGAUAUUUUUUCAAAACAGAUAUCACUACAUGAUCAUGAAUUUUAAUAUCAUGUUCGGGUUAUCUGGAGUGUAUUGUGCAUGUCUAUUAAAAAUGGAACAAUGUAUAAUAAUCCUAGAAUUCAUGUUUUUAGUAGAGAAAUAAUUUUAUAAAUAGGCAGAAUCUUCCGUGUAUGUGUUUGCAUAUAUAUUUUUGUAUACAGUGCCCUCCAUUAAUAUUGGCACCCUUUGUAAAUAUGAGCAAAAAUGGCUGUGAAAAAUUGUUUUAUUGUUGUUGGUUUUUUUUUAUCUUUUGUUAAACAAAAUUCACAAAAAUACUCUGCUCUCAUGGAUAUCAAACCAUUGGAGGUUAAUCCAAAAAUUAUCUUUGUUAAAUAUAUGUGUGCAACAAUUAUUGGCACCCUUUUAGUCAAUACUUUGUGCUACCUCCCUUUGCCAAGAUAACAGCUCUGAGUCUUCUCCUAUAAUGCUUGAUGAGGUUGGAGAAUACAUGGUGAGAGAUCUGAGACCGUUCCUUCAUACAGAAUCUCGCCAGAUCCUUCACAUUUCAAGGUCCAUUCUGGUGGACUCUCCUCUUCAGUUCACCCCACAGGUUUUCUAUGGGUUUCAAGUCAGGGGACUGGGAUGGCCAUGGCAGGAGCUUGAUUUUGUGUUCAGUGAACCAUUUUUGUGUUGAUUUUGAUGUAUGUUGUGGAUCAUUGUCCUGCUGGAAGAUCCAACCACCGCACAAUUGAAGCUUUCUGGCAGAGGCAGUCAGGUUUUCAUUUAAUAUCUGUUGAUAUUUGAUAGAGUCCAUGAUGCCAUGUAUACUAUAACAAAAUGUAUCCAGGUCCUCUUCCAGAAAAACAGCCCCAAAAUAUUAAAGAGCCACCAUCAUAUUUAAUCGUGAGCAUGAGGUAAUUUUUCCAUAUGGCUACCUCUCUGUGUGCACCAAAACCACCUCUGGUGUUUAUUACCAAAAAGCUCUAUUUUGGUUUCAUCUGACCAUAGAGCCCGAUCCCAUUUGAAGUUCCAGUAGAGUCUGGCAAACUGAAGACACUUGAAUUUGUUUUUGGAUGAGAGUAGAGGCUUUUUUCUUGAAGCCCUUUGGGGGAAAAAAAGAAGGGUUAGGGUUUAUGGUGAUGUAGGUGACUUCGGAUUGUAGUUUCGGAGACUUUCUGAUCCCAAGACGCAACUAACUUUUGCAAUUCUCCAGCUGUGAUCCUUGGAGAUUUUUUGGCCACUCGAACCGUCCUCUUCACAGUGCAUUGAGACAAUAUAGACACACGUCCAGUUCUAGGUCGAUUCAUAAUAUUUCCAGUUGACUGGAACUUCUUAAUUAUUGCCCUGAUGGUGGAAAUGUGCAUUUUCAAUGCUUGUGCUAUUUUCUUAUAGCCACUUCCCAUUUUGUGAAGCUCAACAACGUUUUGCCGCACAUCAAAGCUUACCCAUUGUUAUGAAUGACUAAGGGAAUUUGGCCUAUGUGUUACCUCAUAUUUAUACCCCUGUGAAACAGGUAGUCAUCAUUCUGUUAGAUUUUUUCAACUCCAACACUUUUUGACUUUGUUUUUUUAUAUUUCAUCAAUCAGAAUAUUCAACUGGUAAAAGAACAAGUGUUUCAUUAAUAAUAGCUUUAGUUCAUACAGGUUUACUAAAGUGUUGCUACAUGAGAGCGUUUCUGUGUUAAUAUGUGGAGGCGACUUCCAACAUUAAUAAGAACUGAGCAAGAAGUGACUUCACAGUGGGAGUAUAAGUGAAACUGUCAUAUACAGUAAAGUAGGCAGAAGGAGAUGCAAAUGCACUGAAAGUUUAUUUUCUAAAACACACGCAAACAAAUCCAAAUCGUGAAGCAAGAUCGUAAUCCACAAGCAGGCAAAAGAUCAGACGACGUGCAAACUGUAUAAACUGGGCAAAACUCAAUAGAAAAACCAGGAAGAGAGGAAAGAUCAAAACCAGAUAAGCAAUGUAUAAAGACAAUGCAUAAUGUCAGGUACAUGCACACUGAGUGAUUACUUCACAAUGUGAGUGUGAUACUGUAGUCCUUAAAUUCCGUGUGGAGUGAUUGUGUUCAGGUGUGUGUGAUUAGAAGUCAGGUGAUUGGAAACAUGACAAAGUCCAGCUCUGCACAAGAACCCCCCAUGUCCAGUGCAUUUCUAUGUUAAAGACAUGUUCGUUCUUACAAGGUUCAUAUGUGACCUCCUGCUUCCACCUGCAUGAACGUAAAAGCGGCCUGCUUCCAUGACUUUGUGUUGGGCCUCACAGUAACCCAUUGGGGGCCCAAAUGUGAUCAAGAUUAAUUUUCGUUAACCUAUUACCCACUUUUGAGCUCCACACUGUGUGUGAACGAUGUGUAACUAGAAGGCAAAAGGUUACUGUCAUGAUUUCCUCUCAAGCUAGCGCUGUAGCAUGCACCGUGCUCGGAGACCUGAAGCGCAAGCUCGAAUCUCAAGCCAAUGCGCAAGCUGUUAGCGAAUGCACACUUUUGGGUCUUCAGUGACAUUGACCUUGUUUACUUUCUACAUGUGCUUUUGUUAUGUUUUUUUUUCCUGUCUCCGCACCUGUCUUGUCAUCGGUUGUUUCCCAUAGGUGUGCCAUCAUUGUUUUCAGCUGUCUUGUGUUUCAGGCCUGAUUAUGUUUGUCAUUUAAACCCCUUGUGUCUCUUUGUUCCUUGCGUAGUACUGAGUGUAUUCUCCUAACGAAGCGGUUGUUUUGCAUUUAGUUUCAUUGUUUUGAUGUUGUUUCUCAGUUCUCAAUUCUGAUUCUAGCCUUGCCCUAUUUAUGCCUGUUUUUGACCACGCUGUUCUUACGUUUUGGAUUUGUAUGCCUGUCUCUCUUUAAUAAAAUUUUUAACUGCA